CACUUCUCCGAGUAGUUCUCUCAGUCUGGGACGGCGAGAAUUUAAAGGAAUCUUUACUCGGUCAAAGAUGUUCGAGGAGAAAGAUGUUCCUGAAGAAGGGCUUAUGUCCGAAACGUCGAUUCUCCUGCUCCUUGGAUCCUGCCUGACCUGCUGCGCUUUUCCAGCAACACAUUUUCAGCUCGGUUAAAGAUGUUGUAGAGGUGUGAGUUGUGUACACGUGGAAUAAUCACUCUUUAGGGUUAA